AGAGAUAAAAUAAAUUAAGCUUCUAACUUAAUAAAUAGCAAUAAUGUUAAUAUCUU
rnacentral:tRNA from 1 species